AGGUGGGAAAAGAUGAUGUUCUGCUUCUUGCACUAUACAGGCAUGGAACUAUCUUCAGCUGAUUUCCUGCAGGGAAACACACUGGUGAUCACCCUGAAUAUGGAUUAAAUUGUACUUGAAGUCCAUGAUGCUAAAACUCUUCAAAAAAGGAGUAUCACUUUGGGUGCAGUCAAGACAUUCAGAAGCAAUAUGGAUCAUGCCAGGACAUAUUUUUUUUUUCCCCUAAAAAAUUAACAAAGUGACCUUUCAUUUAAGAAUUUU